UACGUAGGGUGCAAGCGUUGUUCGGAAUCAUUGGGCGUAAAGCGCGUGUAGGCGGUUAAUUAAGUCGAUUGUGAAAUCCCUGGGCUCAACCGAGGAAGUGCACCCGAAACUGAGUAGCUAGAGUACGAAAGAGGGUCGCGGAAUUCCCGGUGUAGAGGUGAAAUUCGUAGAUAUCGGGAGGAACACCGGUGGCGAAGGCGGCGACCUGGGUCGAGACUGACGCUGAGGCGCGAAAGCGUGGGGAGCAAACAGG
rnacentral:rRNA from 1 species